CCGUGCUAGACGGGGAGGUAGCGGAUCCUUGUACUCGCAACCCGCUUUAGCGAGGUGGAAUUCCUGCAUGAGGGCAGCGUUUGUGGAGCGGCUAGGGCUAAUUGUGAUGAGGUCUGGGUCUUACGCAACAGAGCACUUCGAACUGUGUCAGGUCCUGACGGAAGCAGCACUAAGGAGUAAACUCUGUGUGCCGUAAGGUUGCCUAGGUUGAGCAAUGAAUCCUGGAUUCGUCCGGAAGCGUCUGUUCGAGUAAAGGUGCACGG
rfam:Desulfitobacterium dichloroeliminans LMG P-21439, complete genome.